rnacentral:lncRNA from 1 species
CAUGACGAAGUGCGAUGCCGCCCAGUUGAGGACAUGCUUGCGAGAUGAUCACGGUCUUCAAGUUAAACAACUUAUGCAGUGUUAAGGUAAUAAUUUUUGUACAUAGAUGGCUUCUGCUACUGGAGGAAGUGGCGAUGGUGGGGGUGAUCGUGGUUCCUAUUUCGGCAAGGGGAAAAUCAUAGUUGGCCCUCAGCAUAAACCGAAGAAAAAGAGCGCGCUGGAAAAAGCAAUGCUUCGUUAUUUGCAGCAACGUCAUGAAGAAGCUGUUGCCGCGGGUCAGGAACCUCCUUUUGGUGGUCGUUAUGCUCCACCCUCAGUCCCGGGUGUUUCACGUCCACUUAGUACUACCGUUUCAGGCGGCACAAAUAAACCUAAGGAUGAGGUUGGGUUAGCGGAACCUUCAUCUUCACCGUCC